CCGAACCCGUUCCACCGAUUAGUUUCCCUUGAAACCCUCUCUAUGCUGAGAAAAGAGCCAUAUACAGCCACGAAAUUCUUAGGAUUUUUGUGAUUUUGGGGUUGAUUUCUUGAGCCAUUGCUUGUGGAGUUCUAGGAGGAGUCUUGUGACGUAAUUGUGGGUUGCCGUACGUCGAUUUGAACACCGAACCGUGAGUCGGUGGAUUGCCCUUGGUCCUGGACCAAGUGGGAUUGAGGCGUUCUGUUGAGUAACAAACUUGGAACCUAAGCUGCUGUGGAGCUAAGUGGAGUAACAUAUUGAGGU